GGAAGAUGUGGCUUUAACAUGGGCCAAUGGAGAAGAGCUUCUGUCUUGUGUGCAGAAGGUCCCGGUUCAAUCCCUGACAUCUCCA